rnacentral:rRNA from 1 species
CCUACGGGUGGCAGCAGUCGAGAAUCAUUCACAAUGGGGGAAACCCUGAUGGUGCGACGCCGCGUGGGGGAAUGAAGGUCUUCGGAUUGUAAACCCCUGUCAUGUGGGAGCAAAUUAAAAAGAUAGUACCACAAGAGGAAGAGCCGGCUAACUCUGUGCCAGCAGCCGCGGUAAUACAGAGGUCUCAAGCGGUGUUCGGAAUCACUGGGCGUAAAGCGUGCGUAGGCUGUUUCGUAAGUCGUGUGUGAAAGGCGCGGGCUCAACCCGCGGACGGCACAUGAUACUGCGAGACUAGAGUAAGGGAGGGGGAACCGGAAUUCUCGGUGUAGCAGUGAAAUGCGUAGAUAUCGAGAGGAACACUCGUGGCGAAGGCGGGUUCCUGGACAUUAACUGACGCUGAGGCACGAAGGCCAGGGGAGCGAAAGGGAUUAGAUACCCCAGUAGUC